rnacentral:rRNA from 1 species
UUUCGAAUCAUUCACAAUGGGCGAAAGCCUGAUGGUGCGACGCCGCGUGAGGGACGAAGGCCUUCGGGUCGUAAACCUCUGUCACCGGGGAAGAAACGCUGCAUAUUAAUCGUAUGCAGCCUGACUUAACCCGGAGAGGAAGCAGUGGCUAACUCUGUGCCAGCAGCCGCGGUAAUACAGAGACUGCAAGCGUUAUUCGGAUUCACUGGGCGUAAAGGGUGCGCAGGCGGUCGUGUGUGUCAGGUGUGAAAUCCCGGAGCUUAACUCCGGAACUGCGCCUGAAACUACACGACUAGAGCAUUGGAGAGGGAAGUGGAAUUCAUGGUGUAGCAGUGAAAUGCGUAGAUAUCAUGAGGAACACCAGAGGCGAAGGCGACUUCCUGGACAAUUGCUGACGCUCAGGCACGAAAGCAUGGGGAGCAAAAG